rfam:Schistosoma margrebowiei strain Zambia genome assembly, scaffold: SMRZ_contig0003099
AUCCAGCUGACGAGUCCUAAAUAGGACGAAACGCGUGUCCUAGAU